GCUUGUUGUAACAUGGUUUGUUCUCUACAGAAGGCUUGUUGAAUCAUUGUAAUCCCUGACAAAGGAUGAAAUGCAUCAGAGUUUAGAAUGUUCUGUACUAUUGAACGUACCAUAAUGAUAAAGGCAUUUAGCUAUAUGAAGAAUGCCUUGCUCCUCCUGGUUCUCUUACCCUCCUUACCAAAGAAAACAUUUGUCUUUGUUGCACACUUGUUAAAGACAGCAGUCUAGCAAUGUGUCUGAAGUGGUGGUUUAAUGAAGUGUGUCGUUGCAGGUGGACCUUCGUUACAAGACAGCCUUCCACUCUCCCGUAUGUCUAAUUGAUACCUGGUUGUGUGUCAGUGGGGACUGUGGGAAUGAGACCAGGCUAGUGCUUAAGAUAGUGGACCAGGGGAUAUCUGAGGGUUGGUGUCAGACAGAAGAAGUCAUGACUAGAAAGGUCUCCGAUAACACACAGACUUUUGAUCUGCGAUUGGAUGGCGGAAACUGGAUAGACAAUGCUAAUUCUGUUUUAGAUUGGGGGCUAUUGACUCAUGUGGAUCUUGGGGUCAGGUCUGACACGGGGACAGUCAACCGAUCUCCACAGACCACUGUCAUUCCUCUGAUGUGUGUCCCUGCUAAUUGUCAAAGAGAUUUCAACCUGUUGUCGUUUGAUCCAGAUGAGGAUAAGGUCAGAUGCAGAUAUGCAGUACCAACGGAUGAGUGUKUCACAUCAAGURACCUUCCUAAUGACUUCACUCUACUAGAGGUUAGUAUCCAAGUAAAACAACACAGACAACGAUGGACUAUGAUGAUGA